UCCUUAAUAGCUCAGUGGUUAGAGCACUCGGCUGUUAACCGAGGUGUCGUUGGUUCGAACCUAACUUAAGGAG
rnacentral:tRNA from 1 species